UGCAGUCGAGCGGUAGAGAGAAGCUUGCUUCUCUUGAGAGCGGCGGACGGGUGAGUAAUGCCUAGGAAUCUGCCUGGUAGUGGGGGAUAACGUCCGGAAACGGACGCUAAUACCGCAUACGUCCUACGGGAGAAAGCAGGGGACCUUCGGGCCUUGCGCUAUCAGAUGAGCCUAGGUCGGAUUAGCUAGUUGGUGGGGUAAUGGCUCACCAAGGCGACGAUCCGUAACUGGUCUGAGAGGAUGAUCAGUCACACUGGAACUGAGACACGGUCCAGACUCCUACGGGAGGCAGCAGUGGGGAAUAUUGGACAAUGGGCGAAAGCCUGAUCCAGCCAUGCCGCGUGUGUGAAGAAGGUCUUCGGAUUGUAAAGCACUUUAAGUUGGGAGGAAGGGCAGUAAAUUAAUACUUUGCUGUUUUGACGUUACCGACAGAAUAAGCACCGGCUAACUCUGUGCCAGCAGCCGCGGUAAUACAGAGGGUGCAAGCGUUAAUCGGAAUUACUGGGCGUAAAGCGCGCGUAGGUGGUUCGUUAAGUUGGAUGUGAAAUCCCCGGGCUCAACCUGGGAACUGCAUUCAAAACUGACGAGCUAGAGUAUGGUAGAGGGUGGUGGAAUUUCCUGUGUAGCGGUGAAAUGCGUAGAUAUAGGAAGGAACACCAGUGGCGAAAGCGACCACCUGGACUGAUACUGACACUGAGUGCGAAAGCGUG
rnacentral:rRNA from 1 species